GGUUUAAUGAACUGCUUGGACAUGAUAUUGCUGCUAUUCCUUCUUUGCAUACAAAGGCACAUAUUCAUGUUGGUGGACCACACCAUCAGAAUAAAUUGAGGGCAAGGGACAUGGAUCUCUCAGAUAGUUGGCUUUUUAUGAUGUAUUCUCACGGUCUAAGGAAAGCAGCUGUUGCCAUUCUGGGGGUGGAGGCCACCGACCCAACCUUGAGUCUCCCCUGGCACAGGAAUCACACCCUCAGACCAAACUCGCACACAGUGGCCUUGUAUGCUGAGAAGCCAGGUGUUAACUGAUGCAAAGUCUUACUGUGACAGAGAACAUACAGUCCUUUGAUUUGUCAACUUCCUGGAUCUGAAUCUGAGCAUGAUCAGUUUUAGCAUUAUUAAUCCUGCCUUGCCUAUACACCACCAAUUGAGGAUGAAGGUCAAAUCACAAGUGGUAUAUUUUCUGUAUCUUAUGGCUACAGUUGAUGCCUUUGCCAACCAUGUCCUUGUAGCAAUUUAAACCUGUAAUUAUUUGAGACUGAUAUGUACUUUAUCCAGUUGAAAAACACGGCUGUUGACAUGACUGUGUUUACACAACAAACCCGCAAUGGCACUUUAAUUUGGUCAGCUAUAGCCUGAGAAUACUCAUGACAAUGGGUGCAGUUAAGAAGAGGUCUUGUUGUGUUCAUCUUAUUUCCAUUUUUGGUUUAAUUUUUGUGCUAUGAUUUUGUAGUUUGCUACAUGGGACUGAAUAGAGAAUUACAUAAUCCUAAAACUAUAGUGUCAUGAGAAAUGGAAUAGAGGGCUCAUCAGAUGUGGAGUAGGAUUUCCAAAACUCUAAUCCAUCGAACGUGACCUU